rnacentral:lncRNA from 1 species
UUAAACUCAAGCUUUGCAGAGCUUGAGUUUAAUUGCCAUAGCUCUUAAUAGCUUCUUGCCCUUGAACCCUGACCUGGACUUCUCUGUGUUGCAGGUGAAAUAGAACUGGCAGAUGAAAAUGGCCAAGUGAAGAAUUUGCUCCAGAAUCAGGACCAGUACGCAUCACAGCUCCUGAGUGAGAGGGAGUUUUGUAUUUUACUCAAAGUCACACGUACGUACAUUUGCAAGUCUCUACAUUGGAGAUGCUUUUGUUUUCCUUUGUAGCUAAAGAAAUACCCACACACAGGUGAAGGUUGAAAGUUGAAGAGGAUUUUCACCCUGGAUUCUCAGCUUGAGUCUCUGUGCAUCUUUGUCUCCACUCAGAGACAGUGGGACCUAAUGAUGUGGAAAUUAAGGCUGCUUUUGAAAACAGUGUAGUGGAAGUCAGGAUCCCCUCCAUGUGUGACAGAGAUUUCCUCACAGUCCCAGUUCUACCUGCAGGAAGUGUCCUUCCAAAAGUUUCUGGGUUUAAUGCUGUGCUUCUAUUCCUCACAGGACAUGAAGGCUCCCAAGAAGCUGUUUUUACACCACUGCUGAAAGAUCACAGCAUUGUCACUCCAAAGUUCCUGGGUAGGUAACCUGAAGUGGAUGUUUCUAUAAACUUGUUCUCAGGCAUGAGAAGAGAGAAAACCAUCAGUUGUACUUCUAGGGUAGGAAUAAAAGCCUGAAUUAAAGAAGAAGGGGGUUAAUUUGUAGCCAAAAUGGGAAGUCUUUCCUUCCAGAACUAAAAAAACUAAACCUAACUUCUUUCUUGUAAGAAGAAAAUGCUUGUUAAUAUCAUCCAUUGUGCAUACCAUGGAAGUAAAAGAAUUACUUGUGCUCUUCUCUUAUCAGUUCCUUUUUCUUUUCUCUCUGCAGCUAAAUUGGGGAAGAGGGAAGAUUCAAAAGUAUCACCUACCAGAGUGAAAUCCAGAAAAUAUGGCAAACAAGCAACCUUGCCUUUGGAGGUUCCACCCACAGAAGGUAAAAGGAGUCAUUCACCACAGGGCAACAAGAAUAAAACCGUGGCUUCCUCUUCCAAAGAAACUGGGACAUUCUAAUCAUGGCAAAUCAAAGGAGUUGCUUGGUACUGAGUUUUGGAGGCCAUCUCUAGGCAUGUUAGUGUAUUCCUUCAUGAAACACACAAUUUGUUGGCUUUUUUUCCAAAAGCGUACAGUAGUAAAUGCCUUGUUUCUUUGAGAAAAGAAUAGUCUCACUGAAAUAGUGGAUCAGUGAGUCACUUUGAAGCCGGGUACAUGUUUAAUAAGUAUGCCAAAUGAAGCCUUGGUUCUUGCAGACACUGCGCUGUUGUUGAAUCACGGAAAUUGGCAGAAGGACAAGCUGCAACACCGGGUUGGUUCAUCUUUAACUCAGUAGUUUUACUUUUGGAAUUAUUGAAGUAGUCAAUUAACACAUCCAUAGUACUUUCAUCUCAACUUUUACCUGACCAACUUCUUUAAAUAACUUUGUAGCUCCUCGGGUGGGUCAUAUCUUACAUGGACUGGACCCUGGUCCAUCUUUCACAUACCUGUUGAAUCAUCAGUCCUCCUGAUUUGUUGUGCUAAGUAUUUGUAUAUAUACAGCACAAUGAGGAACGUGUUAAAACUGCAUAUAAAGUUUUAGAUAAUCUUGUAAAAGCUAUAGAUGAGUCUUUCUUCUUCAAGGUUCCUCUUAAAAAAAAAAAAAAGGGCUGUAAAAUCUAAUCAGUGAGAACAUGACUUUUCUCUGUACAACACCCAGUGAUACAUUGAUCUCAGACAAAUGCACAAACAAUUUUGAAGUUGCAGCACUUUUGUUGUUGAAAAUAUUUUGAAUUAAACAAAGAGAACUCCAAAAUGUAUUUUUUAACAGUGGCCCCCAAACAAGGAGAGAGCUGUUGGGACUUUCCAGUAAGAUAUUCCCUACAUGCUGGUGAUUGUACAGUGACGUUCAUCUGUGUCUGUUUAUGGGAGAACUCUGUGACAAUCUUGAAUCUGUGACAACCUUGGCUGUAUUUAUCUGUUCCUGUCACAGGAAAGUAGUAUCCGUAUUUUCUACAAGGAACUGAUGCUCAGGGGAAGAUCUCAGUCAUCCAGCAAUUCAAAUUCCUGCUGCUGUCUUGGGAAUUAAAAGCAGCAACUAAUUUCUGUUAAAAUCAAGGAGGAAAUCUGUGGUGAUGGAGAUGCUGUUUUUCUGCUUCAAAUGUGUUCUGUAUAACGCCUAUUCUAUGUGUGUCAUUGGUUCUGAUGUAUUUUGAUACAUGCCUGGAAUCCAGUUAGCAUCUCUUUUCUGUGGAUUUGAAGAAGUAUUAAGACACAUAAUAUUUUGAUGAUACAGAAACAGUCCCCAUAGAUGAUGUCACCAACUUGCUGUGUUGCAAAAGGCAUGAAGCAAUGGAGCUCCAAAAUGAGAUCGUGCUGAUACCUGGGAAGUGCAGAACUAGUGUCUGCUUUGGAUAUGUAGGGAUCUAAAAUCUGCUGGGACAUGGCAAUCUCCCCCUCACCCAUCUGUCAGGCAGUGUAAGUUCUGACAAAUCAAAGCCCAGAAUAGCAGAAAACAUGCACUGUUCUCUGUGAGAAAUCUGCUGCAGCCCAUCGCUCCUACACCUCUGAGCAAUAAAGCAAACAACUCUAUAGUUCCA